rnacentral:tmRNA from 2 species
GGGGCCGAACGGCAUCGAUCGGACGGAUCGUUGUUGUCGUGGCGUGUCGUGGAGCAUCCCGGCCACGUAAAAAGGAUGCAAACCUAUAACUGCCAACACGCAGUACGCNCUCGCGGCCUAAGCCGCGACCGCUGGUCGCCUGAUGCCUGAUAAGGCGGCCAGUGGAAAGACAUCAGGCUGGUUCCAAAGGGCUGGCAUACUUUGGCGGAACGAGAAACUUGUAUGCCAUGUGCUUCGGUUGGAUGUCACCAGCCGCACCGAAGCUCGAGAACAAAAAGGGUGACUACACACGUAGAGGCGGCUUCAUCACCGUUCCGACACGGGGGUUCGAAUCCCCCCGGCUCCAUUG